AUUCUUUUCUUUGCUUUUUUAAAUGUCAUUUAUUCAUUCAUUAUGUAUUUGUUUUAUUCUGUUUAAAUUUCAUUUUUGAUUACAUUAUUAUGUUUAUUUCUUAUUAUAGCCCUGUUUCUCUCGUUCACAGAUACAGGAGCAUCAGAGAAAAGAGACGGAGAAAAAGAGGAUGAUGAGGAAGAGACCCAAAGCAGAGCGACGACUCGCGCCGCGUCCCGUCUGGAGGCAGAGAAGAAUAAACCCAGCAAACCGUCCACUCGAGCUCUCAGUAAACUCAGCGGGAAAGAGGAGAACUCCCCGAACACACGGUUGCACUGGAAGCACAGUCUGUUCUCUGCCUUCAUUAGUCUGCGGGUGGCCAUACUCUCCUUUUCACAACAGUCCCAUCUGAGCGGGGUUUGUGCAGUAAUGGACACGUUUUCUGUUCCUGUCCCUGCAGGUUUGAGUCUGUGUUGGUGUUCGAGUCAUGUGGGAAAGAUCUUAUUCAUGGGUUAAAUGCACAUGAACGUGCUAGUUAAGAGCAGGACGCUCGGGGUUUUCUUUUAAACCUAGUUUAGUGAGAAAAUUUAGCGUCUAUAUUAAUAGAUCUGAUAGAAUUUCAAAACUAUUUUAAAUAGAUGCAAAAUAUGAUGGGCUACUGUGCAUCAACAAUGAGUAAAUUCACAGCAGUCGAUUCUUUAUUCAUUAUAUUGUAGAUGUUACAAAAUCGUUUUGAAUUUAACGCAGAAAAAGAUGCAUGCAUGCACAAUCAAAUUCAACGCAUUCUAAUUAGCUCUUACGCGCUUGUGAAUGCAGCAUAUGUUUAGUCUAAAAGUAGCGAUGUGUGAUGCAAACGUUUCUUCUUCUGUUGGUCAGUGAGGCGAAUUCUUAUGUCCAGCUGAACCCGAAGCGAAAAGUGCAUGUGGAAAUGCAUUGAUUCCUAUUGAAAUGACCGCGUGCACGUGAGCGCACCUCAAAAAGUACAGAGAUUAAACUUUUCCAAUUUUUUGUUGUUUUGCAAAUCAAAGCGGGUGAGUAUUAGCUCGUGACGCAGUCAGAUGUCCCGGUGCGGGUCUGAACUUCUGCUUCCUGCAGGUAUGAAUGAGGGCCUUUUCCGUUUCCAUGGUGACACACGUCUCUCAUCCCUCGCUUCUCUGCGUCUGUCUGCUCGUGUUCCGCGAGGAGCCGCUGUCAGAAGCAAUGAGGGACCGAGGCGAACGCAUCUGGACGAGAUGGAGCUUUAAAUCGCCGCACAUGAGUUUCAUCUGGCAGGAAAAACACAGAAGGGCUUUCAUACUGGCAUGAAGGCGGCGGUGUGUUGUAAAGGAGAUGCUGUCAUGCGUGUCACGCCAUUCUCUCAUGAAUGUGUUUUUCCUGUAGAGUCCUGCAUGUCUGCAGUGUGGGAGUGAAUCACUAACCUGUCAGAUACUGUUAAAACUCACUUCGCAUUCAUAUCUGACAUGACUGCAGACCAACACGAGCCUACACCUUCAUUAUUACUUUAAUUGAGGUCAUAGUUUUGUCAGGUUAACUCACUUUUGCAGACGCAUGUAUUCCCAAACUGUAGCUGAUAAACAUCUUUGACUCCACGUGCACGCUCCUCCAUAGAGUUUCCUGACUUUUUUUGAAAAUUAUUGCGCCCGACGCCUUCAUUGUCCUCCGCGUGCACGCGCAAUUUAUGGUUCGCGAGCGUGCCGGUUUCCCACACACGUGCACGCUCGCGGUGAUCCAUCUUUCGCGGAUAUCACGCGCAGAGCCGCAAAUAUAUGUAUAAAAAAAGUCGCUUAUCAGGCCGAAAGCAAGGCGCGUGGCCGCUAGAUGGAGAGAGAGACGCGCACGCUGGGGUUCAGCGGUCUUAUUGAUAUUUACUAAGAAUAUAAAAUCAUUUCUGAACAUCAUGUUCACCCGACUAAUAUUUUUAAGAGCCGUGUGCGAGGGAAAAUACAAUUACCGUAAUAUUUAUUUGUGUGCAGCGUGUAAAUGAUGUUCUUUAUCCUCAGCAUCAGCCUCUGAAUUAAUCCACGGUGUGAUAAUAGUUUAACUGGUUAAAGUUGAACUGUUAAGUGUAAAAUAAGCUGCUUAUGUUACAUUUUUCAUAGCUAUAUAUUGUAUUAUUUUGAUAGUAUUAUAUUAAACGUCAACCGUAAUUUUGUAAAUUGCGUUGAUAUAAAUAUUUAGUGAAAUAAAACACCAGAAUCUAUAUUAGCUGUUAUGACGCUUUGGUAAAAACAUUAGGCUACAGAAAAAAUGUGUAAGCCUAUAGUAAUACUGGGUUAGGAAAAAAUAAUAGAAAACUACUUUAAAAAUGCGCGCAGGUAUUGAUAAAUCAUUUAGUAGCUGAUAAACAGUGUUUUACUUUUAUAAAGCGAUUUAUGGUUCACAACGCGAAUAAAAAUAAGAAUAAAAAACAGUUUGACGCUACUAAGUCCAACUACAUGAUUAUAUUAACCACUGUAUUAAAUACAAUAACCUCAGCUGUUGAUGUACUGAAAUAUCUUAUCAGUAAUAUAAUAAAUUAGCAGCAGCAGUUUAGGAUUUAAUUUUAGUCGUAAACGUUCACAAUAUAUAAUGUCUUACCAUAUAUAUCUGUCCAGAACAGAAUGUCAGAACCACGAAAAUCUGUUUUAGAAUUAUUUAAUGUGACACUUUCUCUUUUUGUAUGCAGUCCAUCUGAAGAAAGUCUGCCGAAAUCAGCUCCAUCGAAAACAAGAAUCACAAGAAAAAUCGAAUAAGAAAGGAUUUCUGGUUUGUUUAUUGUUAUCGUUGUUAUUAUUAUUAUUAUUAGGCUGUUGUUAUGCUGUUGCUGUUCAAUGAUAAAAUAAAAGCAGUCUUCCGCAUAUUCACUGUAGGCUAGAUAAUUCAUAUUUUUCUUGUACCGUUUUUAGGCCUCGUUCAUUUUCAAUGCCCCAAAAAACUUGUUCAAAUAUGAGAGUCGAAAUUAGAGUCGAAAUUAGAAACAUUUUAAUCUUAUUUUCAUCUUAUUUUUAAUUAGUGACGAAAUCUGUUAAAACUCAAAUGAGGUGUAAUUGUUUCAGUGCUUUUAUUCAUCACAAUUAAAAUUAUUAAUCAGAAGAUAUUAAUAUCAGACGACACAAAAAACAUAAAACAUGAGCAGCAGUACAUUAAUCUGAGAGACAGCUACUUACUUGAUCCGACGGCGAGCGAGCUGAGAAUAAAAUCACACAUAAAAACGAGAUUUAGCGUGUGAUGUUACCGAACACUGAAAAAUUAUAGACUUGCCCUUAAAAGCGUUCAGAGGAACGAUGAGUGAGUUUGUGCCAGAUUCCGAUUUCGGUAAUUGCGGUUUUGCUUUUGCGCUGUUUUUGUGCGUCUGUUCGUGUUGUGGACCUACUUUGUCACCAGCUCGUAUUCAGUCGUCACUGUCAUUUAAAAGGGUCACUGAUAUCUCUUCAUUCAGGGCAGCGGGUGUUUAAGGGUAACGGGUUACGCGUUCUGGGUGUUCUGAAAUAUGUGGAAGCUCCACGCAGCCAAUCAGAAGUUGGAACAGCUGUCUGUCUGGCCAAUGGGAGGGCGCUGAGGGUCAGAGUCAGCCGCAGGUGAAGAGGAUAGUAGCGCUGUGUUCAUUCACACUCGCGUUCUGGCGACGUGGAUGCGCAUCCACAGAAACUCCGUUCACGCGGGCCGCGAUGCGACCGAGCUGCCGCCGCGGGGCUCAAUCUGCAUUAGAUCCGAAUCUGGAGCGCCUAACCCCGUUGCUUUGUGAUCAACAGUGACUUUUCGUUGCUUUGUGAUCAACAGUGAACUUUUCCUGCUUGAAAUGGCUGUGCGCAGUAACACAUUGAUGCCGUUCUCCAUUCAAGCCAUUCUGAACCGAAAAGAGGUAGUAACUCGACAUUUGAACGAUCUGGAUGUUUGUUACUCAAA
rnacentral:lncRNA from 1 species